rnacentral:rRNA from 1 species
UACGGAGGGUGCAAGCGUUGUUCGGAAUUACUGGGCGUAAAGCGGGUGUAGGCGGCCUCGCAAGUCAGAUGUGAAAUCCCUGGGCCCAACCCAGGAACUGCAUUUGAUACUGCUUGGCUCGAGUCCCGGAGAGGAUGGCGGAAUUCCAGGUGUAGAGGUGAAAUUCGUAGAUAUCUGGAGGAACACCAGCGGCGAAGGCGGCCAUCUGGACGGUGACUGACGCUCAGACCCGAAAGCGUGGGGAGCAAACAGG